GUGAUAUUCAGCCUGUCUGCACAAGGAAAUCCUGUUCAUAAUUCUGUCUUUGUGAAGACCUUCCUCCAGACUCACACUCAUCCCAGGCAGAGAUGUCACUCCACAAUGAACUCUAUAUCACCUCCACCACUGCUUGAAGGAAGUGAGAAGCAAGAUUAACUACAUUGGAAUCCUGGCUGCAGCUGUGCUGAAUCCUCGUACCAUGUCUGCUUGAGUCAGCAUUGCCUCCAGUGCACGUCUCCCAGUCACGCACCAACAACCCCUGACUGAAACGACUGCCAUCUCCAUUAGUUCAAGAUACACACAGGCACACAGAACAAGUCUAAUGCUUUAAGGUC